GUAGGUGGCAAGCGUUGUCCGGAAUUAUUGGGCGUAAAGCGCGCGCAGGCGGUUCUUUAAGUCUGAUGUGCAAGCCCACGGCUCAACCGUGGAGGGUCAUUGGAAACUGGAGAACUUGAGUACAGAAGAGGAAAGCGGAAUUCCACGUGUAGCGGUGAAAUGCGUAGAGAUGUGGAGGAACACCAGUGGCGAAGGCGGCUUUCUGGUCUGUAACUGACGCUGAGGCGCGAAAGCGUGGGGGAGCAAACAGGAUUAGAUACCCUGGUAGUCCACGCCGUAAACGAUGAGUGCUAAGUGUUAGGGGGUUUCCGCCCCUUAGUGCUGCAGCUAACGCAUUAAGCACUCCGCCUGGGAGUACGGCCGCAAGGCUG
rnacentral:rRNA from 1 species